AGUCACUGACAUUAGAUACCCGGGUAGUCCCAGCCGUAAACAAUGUGCGUUAGGUAUGUCGGUAACCACGUGUUACUGAUGUGCCGAAGAGAAAUCGUGAAACGCACCACCUGGGAAGUACGGUCGCAAGGCUGAAACUUAAAGGAAUUGGCGGGGAGCACCACAACAGGGGGAGCCUGCGGUUUAAUUGGAUUCAACGCCGGACAUCUCACCGGAUAAGACAGCUGAAUGAUUGUCAAUCUGAAGGUUUUACAUGACUAGCUG
rnacentral:rRNA from 1 species